CUCUCCAUUUCAACUUUAUACAGGAUGAUAAUGAUUUUAGCUGAGGCUAAAGGGGAAAGGAAACGUUCAAAAGGAAAAAAACGUUUGAACCUAAAUAAUCUAGAGAAAGAUAUGGUGUGCUAAUCUGGUAUUCUUAUGAAUUUUAUAAUUCAGACUUUGUGGAUGCAAUACAGCUCCAUCCUUUGAGGAGCUGGAGGAAAAAUGAAGCAAUAGGAUUUCCUAUCCUUUAGAUUAAGUUGUGAUACCAUACUGGUUGCUACACGUGGGCUAACAUCCUUCUGUAUUUGAUGUAGGGGAGCUGGUGUUUUACAAAAUCUUCAUCAAAUUUCAAUUGAAAUUGAACCAGUUCUUUAUAAACUGGACAGACUUCUAAACGUCACAGACCAUGUACAAUGAGUAAUCUACCUGCCUUUUAUGAACUUGAUGUUUUACGCCUGACGGUAGCGUCCUGAUUGGGAAUCUUGUCAUUACCUGUAACUUGAUUAAAGGAUUGUCCAGCACGGUUCCGCUGUCUCUCCUACUCUCAUCUUCAUUCCAUAAACUGGUUUCUAAACUCAGAGCACUGAUUAAUGAAUGGAUAUCUUGCUCUAUUCCAACGGAGGCAGAUGCUCCAGUCUUAUAAUCCAAAUUAUUGAUUUAGCAACCAUCUGCCAACUACUGACAUGAACCUUACCUUCUGAAAGAAGGGAGUCUUUUCAAUUAAGUAUUUGUUGGAAAAGGAAACUGACUUCAACCAUCUUGAGAUGCUUUACCUAACAGUGGAGGCGGAAUACUGCAAAAUUGUGAUGCAAUGAUUGUCUUACUGGUCAUAUCAUCCGUCAGUGAAUAACAAUCAUUAACACUGUAUUUCCAGGAGAUAAUUUUUUUUGUUCAAGAUUUGUAAAGGAAGACAUUAACUCAUAGAACCUGUGUAUUUUUGAUCAUUUCUUGGAACAUUAGUGGAUUAUAUUUCAUAUAUUUGGUGUGUGUGUGAUGAUGAUGAGAUCAUUAAGCACUAUGAAGUCCAUUCACCCUGCAGUAAGAAGAUACAAAUCUCUUGGUAAGUCUUCUUGCAGAACAUCUUUCAGGAUUUAAAGAAGAGUACAAUCCCCCCCC